rnacentral:rRNA from 1 species
AAUGAACGCUGGCGGCAGGCCUAACACAUGCAAGUCGAGCGGAGCGGCGGACGGGGGAGUAAUGCCUAGGAAUCUGCCUGGUAGUGGGGGAUAACGUCCGGAAACGGGCGCUAAUGCCGCAUAAUAUCAGGUGAGCCUAGGUCGGAUUAGCUAGUUGGUGGGGUAAAGGCCUACCAAGUCGACGAUCGGUAACUGGUCUGAGAGGAUGAUCAGGCACACUGGAACUUAGACACGGUCCAGACUCCUACGGGAGGCAGCAGUGGGGAAUAUUGGAUAAUGGGCGAAAGCUUGAUCCAGCCAGGCCGCGGGUGUGAAGAAGGUCUUCGGAUUGUAAAGCUCUUUAAGUUGGGAGGCGUUACCAACAGAAUAAGCACCGGCUAACUUCGUGCCAGCUGCCGCGGUAAUAC